GCGGGGAUGCCCGAGCUGGUCCAAGGGGGCGGACUCAAGACCGCCAGGGUGAUCCGCUGGCGCAGGCCAUCCGGGGUUCAAAUCCCCGUCCCCGCA
rfam:Metallosphaera sedula DSM 5348, complete genome.